rnacentral:rRNA from 1 species
AUUACUCCUACGGGAGGCAGCAGUGAGGAAUAUUGGUCAAUGGUCGCAAGACUGAACCAGCCAUGCCGCGUGCAGGAAGACGGUCCUAUGGAUUGUAAACUGCUUUUAUACAGGAAGAAACCCUCCCACGUGUGGGAGCUUGACGGUACUGUAGGAAUAAGGAUCGGCUAACUCCGUGCCAGCAGCCGCGGUAAUAAU